rnacentral:rRNA from 1 species
GUGGGGAAUAUUGGACAAUGGGGGGAACCCUGAUCCAGCCAUGCCGCGUGUGUGAAGAAGGCCUUUUGGUUGUAAAGCACUUUAAGCGAGGAGGAGGCUACCGAGAUUAAUACUCUUGGAUAGUGGACGUUACUCGCAGAAUAAGCACCGGCUAACUCUGUGCCAGCAGCCGCGGUAAUACAGAGGGUGCAAGCGUUAAUCGGAUUUACUGGGCGUAAAGCGCGCGUAGGUGGCCAAUUAAGUCAAAUGUGAAAUCCCCGAGCUUAACUUGGGAAUUGCAUUCGAUACUGGUUGGCUAGAGUAUGGGAGAGGAUGGUAGAAUUCCAGGUGUAGCGGUGAAAUGCGUAGAGAUCUGGAGGAAUACCGAUGGCGAAGGCAGCCAUCUGGCCUAAUACUGACACUGAGGUGCGAAAGCAUGGGGAGCAAACAGGAUUAGAAACCCCGGUUGUCC